UUCAAGAAAAAGACGACGUUGAAGAUGAAGAAGAAAAGGAAGAUGAAGCGGAAGAGAAAGAGAAAGAGAAGGGUAAGGGUAACUUGUCCCCAUCGAAGAGCUUACUUGACCUCGCACCACCGAAUCAUUCCCUACUGAUUCAACUGAACAAGACUAUCCUCACCAUUCACUAGUUAGAAAUCACCUAUCGCAAUUGUAGAAAUGUGCAUUCCAAUGUCAGGCCCUGCCAAAACCUUUUUGUAUUUAUCAGCCCGAUAAAUACCAAGCUCCUCAUAUGAAGGAUUUUGCUACGGAGAACUUUCAACGAAUAUGCGAAGCGUAUGAGAUUCUCUCAUAUUGAAACAAAAGGCAAAUAUAUGAUAUCUACGACAUGGAAGGGUUGACCUCUGGUUUCGAACUUGGUCUAAGGCUUAAUGGAGCUGAAGAGAUCAAGGCAGAGCUCAAGAGAUUGAAGAGGAUGAAGGAACAUGAGAAAGUGGUAGCGCAUUUUCUACCCUUCGGUACGAUUCUGGCCAUUAUGUCUUUGCCACUCUAUGUAGAUGGAAAUGGCCUACUCAUAGGAUAUUGCACUGUUCAUCAUAUUUUUUUGCUUCUUUAUAUCAAUAUGAAUGUGGUUGUUGAACAACGCUAGAGUUGACUCUUGGUCUCAUGAAACUAUGGAUCUUUUCAUGUGUGGGAUCAAUGUGUACCUAAAUGGUUUUGUUUUGCAGUGGCCACUCAUAAACAAAUUAGAGAAUUGAUGUAGGUGGAAGGCCUUACAAAUGAUGAAGUGAAAAGUCAUUUGCAAUUAUUCAAGUAAAGGGUGAAUGGGAUGCUGGCAACCUCAAACUCUGGUAUUUGUCAUAAACAUUCACUUGUUUUGGCCUUAUGUAAGGAGUAAACCCCACUGUACUUAAGUCUUUGACUAAUGGAGUAAAGGAAAUGGAGUAUUCUGAUAUCUGCAUCAUCGGGUAUUAUUGUCAUUGGGUGUGUUUGCAUUUUGAUACUGACUAAUGGAGUAUCAAAGGAAAUGAAACUUAGAGCAUCACUGAUCAGUCACCUAGAAGAAAGAAGGAAGGCAGAGGCAUCAAGCAACUACAAAAGUCAACUUCUUGCAAAUAUAAGGUUAGUUUUUCAAGAUCAAUGUGAAUUUAGAGAACACUGAUUAAGCUGAAAUCAUAUAAAACAGAGGAUGAAGAACUCUAGUCUUAGGUGUCCAUGUUGUUUUUAUCAAACAUGUAUAUAUCAUGUGCUUUAUCCAAUUUAUGGGUUAAAUUAUUUAAUUUAGAGAAUAUGGAAAAAUAUGUCUCAGUUGAUCAGGGGUUUGAAGGAGAAAGAGACAACUGCUUUAUUUAUUGACAAACCUUAUUGUUGUUUGAAACUAUGUUCUUUGGUGUCAAUAAACAAGAUAAUAUAAAUAACCUUGUACACAAGCUACUCUAUGUUUGAAACUAGGUUCUUUGGUCUCAAUACUUUAUUUAUUGAUUAGGGGUUUUAUAUCUCUCUUUUUGUCAGGGAUUUCCAUUUCUUGUGAGUGUUAUCCAUAAUUUCUACUUACCAUUUGUCAGACAAUAUUUUUGUACAAUAAUAUAUUUGUUGCAUAGAUUUGCUAGAUAUGGCAGAAAGUUAGGUCACAAGAUGAUACGGGUUUUCAGUGCUUCUUGGAUCGAGUUGAAUAUAGCCACAAGAGUAUUUCACAAUAUGAACGGAAGUAUGGCCCAGGCUUUGUGAGCAUUGGUGGACUUGGUAUGCUUAUUCUUAGACUGCUUAAUAUAUCAUGAGAAUACAUUUGAUGUAAUAUACACUUGGGACACCUUGCUGCACGUCAAAGUAAGGAACUAUGCUUUUUUUUUAUUGUUUAAAUUGUUAGUUUUAGUAGUGUCAUGCUUUAUAGUAUUGAUAGGAUUGUAGGUGUAUGCCUCUGAAAGUAUAUAGGUUAGUUAUUUGAAGCACCAUGAAAUACAUUAUAUUAAAUGUGAAAUGCUGAGGAGAAAUCAACAUUUCUAUGGAUCAAUACAGGAUAAACCAACCUUGUCUUUAAUAUCUUUGUUACUGAAUAAAGAAAUCAAUGCUUAACUUAAUUGUUGCAAUAGUGGAAUAGAGCUAGAUUAAUUAUUUUUGUUCGUUAUCCAAAAGUAAAGUAAGAUUGACUAUCCAAAUGUGCAUGUAUCCAGCGACUUCCAACUCGAAGUUAUACUUCACAACUGCAAGAACUUUAAUGCAUUUGUCAUAAAGUUAACAAAAGAGGAGGCAAAAAGAAUGGCAUGUACUAUAAUCUCCUUUCCACACAACUAUUUUUCUUAAUUAUUCAUUAUAUGUUAUGGAAGAUAAAGCAUAGUGUUAAUUACUUUGGAAUUGCAACAGAAAUGGACAAUGUUAUCUCUGUUUUCCCAAACAAGAACAGUUGUCUUCACACAACAAGGUCGUGGAACUUUGUAGGCCUUCCUCAGAAUGUGAAAAGAGCAACCACAAAGAGUGACAUAAUUGUGGGAGUAUUAGACACGUGAAUUUGGCCAGAGUCUGAGAGCUUCAAUGAAUAAGGAUUUGGUCCUCCACCAACCAAAUGGAAAGGAUCUUGUCAUAACUUCACCUGCAACAAGUGUUUGACAUUCAUUAGGUUGUGGGAAGAUGCACCCUCCUUUAACAUUGCAGAGACACUCAAUGUGAGCGGAAGUAAAAAGGUAGAUUGAUCAUCCUAUUUUUUUUGUAAAAGUAAAAUUAUUUACUUAUUAUUACUUUUGGAUAGUGUUGUGCUAUUGAUGUGCUUUAGGCUUAUUAUUAAAUGUUAAUAUUACACUGGUUAUUUUUCUAAUUGUAGCUUCAAUUC